rnacentral:lncRNA from 1 species
GUUGUGAGUAGGUCAAUAUGGAAUCAAUCACUCCUAAUAAGAAGAGAUCGCAUCCUGUGUAUUCUCAAUCCUAGAUGACUGGAGAAAAAUCUUUUGGCCAAAAGCAAGAAGGAGAUUAGAAAAAAAUUUUAAGCUUCUUCAUUGGAGUCAUCAUUGGUUAAUUGAGAAUCGAUAUGAAUAUGUGUUUGAGUUUGACAUGAUUCCAUACUCAUGAACAUAUUCAGGGUGCAAG